UACAGAGGUCCCAAGCGUUGUUCGGAUUCACUGGGCGUAAAGGGUGCGUAGGUGGUUAGGUAAGUCCGAUGUGAAAUCUCCAGGCUCAACCUGGAAAUGGCAUUGGAUACUAUCUAGCUUGAGGAGUGGAGGGGGGACUGGAAUUCUCGGUGUAGCAGUGAAAUGCGUAGAUAUCGAGAGGAACACCAGUGGCGAAGGCGAUCACCUGGGGUUGUUCUGACGCUGAGGAGCGAAAGCUAGGGGAGCAAACGGG
rnacentral:rRNA from 1 species